rnacentral:sRNA from 1 species
GCUGCCGCCAAAUCGGCAGCCUGGGCUUGGCGGCCCGGAUAAAACGGGCGGUCACAAAACCGCUGUAAAAAAGCGGUUUUUUU